rnacentral:rRNA from 1 species
CCUACGGGGGGCAGCAGUGGGGAAUAUUGGACAAUGGGGGCAACCCUGAUCCAGCCAUGCCGCGUGUGUGAAGAAGGCCCUCGGGUUGUAAAGAACUUUCAGUGAGGAAGAACGCCUGGUGGUUAAUACCCAUCAGGAAAGACAUCACUCACAGAAGAAGCACCGGCUAACUCCGUGCCAGCAGCCGCGGUAAUACGGAGGGUGCGAGCGUUAAUCGGAAUUACUGGGCGUAAAGCGCGCGUAGGUGGCUUGAUAAGCCGGUUGUGAAAGCCCCGGGCUCAACCUGGGAACGGCAUCCGGAACUGUCAAGCUAGAGUGCAGGAGAGGAAGGUAGAAUUCCCGGUGUAGCGGUGAAAUGCGUAGAGAUCGGGAGGAAUACCAGUGGCGAAGGCGGCCUUCUGGACUGACACUGACACUGAGGUGCGAAAGCGUGGGUAGCAAACAGGAUUAGAUACCCUUGUAGUC